AUACGUAGGUGGCAAGCGUUGUCCGGAUUUACUGGGUGUAAAGGGCGUGUAGGCGGAGAUGCAAGUCAGGAGUGAAAUCUAGGGGCUCAACCCCUAAACUGCUUUUGAAACUGUAUCCCUUGAGUAUCGGAGAGGCAGGCGGAAUUCCUAGUGUAGCGGUGAAAUGCGUAAAGAUUAGGAGGAAGCCCAGUGGCGAAGGCGUCCUGCUGGACGACAACUGACGAUGAGGCGCGAAAGCGUGGGGAGCAAACAGGAUUAGAUACCCAGGUAGUCCACGCUGUAAACGAUGAAUACUAGGUGUGGGUGGACUGACCCCCUCCGUGCCGCAGUUAACACAAUAAGUAUUCCACCUGGGGAGUACGAUCGCAAGAUUGAAACUCAAAGGAAUUGGCGGGU
rnacentral:rRNA from 1 species